AGCAGCAUAACUCAAAGUAGUAGCUCCCCACCCUGGGUCUGCUGAGACUGUGCCAAACCAUGGUGGAGAGCAGAGGAACACAGGAGCAGAGGGCUCUUAUCAAAACAGGACACAAGCAGAAUUCCCCUCCUGCUGCCAAGGACACAUCACUCCAUCACACAUGGCAGCAGAGUGCAAGUGCGAGUGCAGAAGAAUAUCCUGCUGCUGAAAUAGCCUGUCCUAUCCCAACGCCCUGCUGGCUCAUGGACCAAGCAGGACAGCAAGGGGUGAAUGCUGGCAGUGCUGAAGAUUCUGCAGUCAUCCCAGUUCUCAUUAGAGAGCUGAGCCUCCAGUCAAUGGAGCAGCAUUGCUAAUGGCCCUGUACAGACAGAGGGGCUGUGGCA